rnacentral:misc_RNA from 1 species
CCAAGAUCAAGAAUUCUGUAAUGUAUUUUAGUUGCCUCCUGAAAAGGCUAUUAUUCUUUUACUACCAUAAUGUAUUGUUUUGUUGUAGGAAAUGGGAAAAUUUCCAACAACUUUUAUCUAUUUGUUGCAUUGUGCCUAUUCGAUUGUUAGCCAAUCAAUCUGUUGAGAAACCCGACAUACGAUCCAGGCUUGCAGUCGACCAUAUAAGUUGUACAUCAUUAGUGGGGGCACAUUCUGUUACUCCAUUUCUCUUGUGCAUCAGGGUUUCUUAUAUGGCUGUUGUUGCUGAUUUCAGUCACCUUCACCUUCUCACAGGCGGUUUCUUAUAUGGCUGUUGUUGCUGA